AUUUAUUCAAGUUUCACAAAGGAUCGUUACCGGUUUUCUGACUACCGGUUUAAAAUUAGGUAUAACCGGUUAUAGUUGUAUUUCGCAAUUUUUAUCACUAAAGCUUUGAUUACAGGUAUCAUGUCUAUUAGUGAUUUUGCCAUUAGACAACAAUAUCUGUAUUUGACAUUUUACCCUUAAAAACCAUUACCGGUUAUACAUGUCAAUGUCAAUACACUCCUUUAUUUGUGACUUCGAAGAUGUUGCGCUUUGCGUAUUGCUAAAUUGUCAGAAUAUUUCAGACUUAGUACUUUGGCAAGGCUUUUCCUUUGCGAAUAAAAAUAAAGGACAUCGUUACUUAAAUAAUUUACUUUCAGAAGCAAAUAAUAUUAAUCUAGGUACUACUACUACACUUCAGCCAGCUAUGCAAAAUAUUAUCACGUGACGUUACAGUAUUAGACCUAUUUGUUGUGAUUUAGUAGUAGUGUCUGAUUGACAUCUUACCUUUCAAGUACAAUGAAUGGCGGUAUUUAAUAAAGGUAUUUAAUAUUGUAAAUAGUCUAUAUAUAACGGUAAAAACAAAAGCAAAAUCAAAACAAUACCUCUAAUAGGAAUAUAGCUAUUAUUUUUAUAGCGGUAUUAGUUUGAGAAUUUAUUUACAGGUAUUAAAUAAAACCGGUUUCACAAUCCCUGACCGGAACAGAAAAUUCUUUGGACAAAAAUGCUGUUACUUUAAACAGGCAGGCACCAGGUUGAUUCACUUGGUUCCCUAGCCAAACACGCGAAUUUGUAGCGUACAUUUCAAAGAAAUUUAUUACUAUCAGACAGAAAAUGGAUAAGUGGGACUUGAAGAUAAGAUGGCACGUACUGAAAAUAUCUCGGAGAGUUCAAUUGAAUCUAGUAACAUCCCAACAAAAGGUCGUAUGAUAAAUAGUUAAAUAAUUUAUUAAAUUUUAAAAUAAAACGUCGUCUCACUUAUAAUAUUUUAACUUCAGGUUUCUUUCCAUAUUGCGUUGUUGUUUUGUAUUAUUUACAUUUUAUUGAUACAUAACUAAAAACGUAUAUUAAACUUGGGAAACAUUCAACACUGGCAUUUUAUAAAAUUUUGUAUGUACUUUCAUUGUUCCAAAAUACAUAAUACAUAUUAACAUUACGUUUCAAAUUUUGUAUGUACCGACAUACACUUAUAAAGUAUAAACAUGCCUAAUCUUGACAAUAAAUACGCGUCAAACAAUAAUUUAUAUGAAUUGGUUCCAUCUUAGUAAAAUUAUUGUAAGAUUUGACAACGCCAAAAUAUUGUAACGCAACAACGGUUUGACGCAUAGAAUUUUAUUAUAGGCAAUCAAAACUUUUAUUGAUCAAUCACAACUUUUUGUUUAAUAGCAGGAAUUAGUUUAUUGAAUAUAAUUCGAAGCUGCAAGGAUAUAUUCACGGUGAAGGGGUAGCUGUCAGUGUCAGUAUGGCUGGUAUUUUCUAUGGAGAGCGUUGUCUAUAUAUAUAUUCCGUCGCUGAUUGCGAACCAAUCAAAACAUUAUUAAAUCAGACCGUUGUAAUUGAAAUUAAUUGUAUAAUGAAGUAAAAAUGAAAAUAUUCUAAUUAAAAUGCAACAAUCCACCUUAGGUUUUAUAUUUUACUUAUUGGAUUUAUUGGAAAUUAAUCCACGCUCCACGCCACCAAUCCGGGCUCCACGGUGCCCUACAUUUGGCGACAGAUGGAGGUGGCGGUAAAUUGUCAAAGAGAAACUGUUCCCUCGAAGUGGCAACUACCUUCAGUGAUGAGGAAACCGAUGCAAGUAGGAGGAGGAAAUUAUAAUUAUCUAGUGUAAAAUAUGUAACUGUUAUUUUUGUCCUAACAACUCAGGAUCUGUCCUGACAAGCAUACGUUUUACUUUUAACGUAUGCACUCGUUUAAUAUUUCUCACGUAAGCUAAUUCAGUUUUAUGAUGUUAUUACAUUACAAUAUUUUAUUUUUUCGUUUACUAUUUUUAUUUAUUUAGUUGUCUUAUAAGCUAACAUUAUUUAAGUGUGAGCACUAACCUCACAUAAAAAAAUUAUUAGUCAAAAUAAGUGGUCAAACAUAGACAAACAAUAUCAUCAGUCGUUAUGCGUCAGUAAUUGUAUUCAUUGUGCCAGGGCCGAUUAAUUAACUUUUGCAGGCGGGAUAAACGAGUGAUUUGUUAAAAUACUCGCCUAUCCUCACUUCUGAGAUAUAAGGGGUCUAACCAUAAUAUUAAAAGAACGGUAGGUGUGAUCAAAAUACAUUUAUUUGGCACAAUGAAUAUAACCUCUUCCAAUCUAACUAACCACACGACAGUAGUACGCUUGUCGCUCAGACAAGCAAUUAUAUUGUAUCGAGUUCUAACAAAACAAAACGUACUGACCUGCUAAUAAUACAAUCAACGUAACCACUUGUAAUUUGCAUCGACUGUCAUCGUUCGACUGUCAUCGUUCGAAUGUUCGUUCAAUAUUUAAGAUGGAGGGAUCGAUCACGUGACUCUUCACGUGAUCGAUCGUUACAAAUACUUUUAAUACUAUAGUUAGCUUAUUUAAUCUAGAAAAAUGUAUUAUAAUGACAAAAUAUCUAUAUAAACUAAACAGUAUCCUUACAUUAUAUAUAUCGUUGUCUAAGUACCCUCAACACAAGCCUUAUUGAGCUUACUGUGGGAUUUAGUCAAUUUGUGUAAUAAUGUCCUAUAAUAUUUUUAUUUAUUUAUUUAUAUUUAAUAUUUACAAAGAUCUGGUCAUUACAGGUCCCCUAACAGUAGUUUAACAUGUUCUUAUAAUCCAAAAGAAUUUAUUGGGAUACAAUUCUGCCCUAAGAUUUGUAGAUGGAAACAACCCUAUUUAAAAAGGUGACGAAAUAGAAUUGUGGACGAAGCGCUCCUGAGCCCUUACAAGUCAAUUCCGAAAGCCAACAUGAGGAUUUGAGGAAAUUUGAGGUAAUUUGUCACUGCACUUGUUAUGUUGGCAUUUGUAUGUGUGCAAUGGAAGUGUAUUUUUCUGCCGAAAAUACGCCAACCCAUAAAAUUUGAAACAGCUAAAUAGUCGCUGCCAACAUUAUAGUAAUAAGUACUGAUCAUCUUUUCAGCUGUUUAAUGAACCAAUGUCUUCAUUUGAUAUGAUAUGGCCAUUUCAACUUUUUUUAGUUUUGAACACGACAAACACCUAAUGGAUUUUGUAUGCCACAUUGUAGUUCUGAUACCGAGACUGCAAUGUUUUUAACUUUUUAAUUUUGGACUGACCUUAAACUAGAGCACUUCGCGACCUAUUUUUUUACCGGCAAAUUCGACUUUUUCGAUCAUUUUUGAGAAAAUAAAAUAACGAGGCAGAUUUUACUAAAGAGUAUUUUCACUACGUGUUUUUUAUUUUUUGUGAAAAUGCUGUAAGAAUCACACAAUUAAUUCCAUAUUUGCCCAAGAUCGAACGUUUGUUAGAGACCAACGUAGGUUAGGGCACUAAAAAAGCCACAUAUUUUCAUGCACAUAAAUGAAAAAAAAAGUAAACUGAUGUAAAUAGUAAUUUUGUGUAUAUUGUUGUCGGCUAGCUGUCGGAUAUUAAAAAGCUGGUUAUUAUGUAAAUGAAGAGGGAUUUUUACAAAAUCAACAAUUUAUACAAAAUGUUUUCUAUAAAGAUUAAGGAUUUAUUUAAUAUUUAUAUGGAAAAUGGUUCUUGGAGAAAUAAAACUGUACAAGCACAGA